UACAGAGGUGGCGAGCGUUAUUCGGAAUUAUUGGGCGUAAAGGGCGCGUAGGCGGCCCGGUAAGUCAAAGGUGAAAUCCCUCGGCUCAACUGAGGAACUGCCUUUGAAACUGUCGGGCUUGAGGCCGGGAGGGGGUAGCGGAAUUCCCAGUGUAGCGGUGAAAUGCGUAGAUAUUGGGAGGAACACCAGUGGCGAAGGCGGCUACCUGGACCGGUUCUGACGCUGAUGCGCGAAAGCGUGGGUAGCAAACAGG
rnacentral:rRNA from 1 species